AUUGAACGCUGGCGGCAGGCCUAACACAUGCAAGUCGAACGAGUGGCGGACGGGUGAGUAAUGUCUGGGGAACUGUCCCAUGGAGGGGGAUAACUCCUGGAAACGGUAGCUAAUACCGCAUACCAUCGGAUGUGCCCCGAUGGGAUUAGCUUGUAGGUGGGGUAACGGGUCACCUAGGCGACGAUCCCUAGCGGGUCUGUGAGGAUGACCCGCCACACUGGAACUGAGACACGGUCCAGACUCCUACGGAAGGCAGCAGGGGGGAAUAUUGGACAAUGGGCGCAAGACUGAUGCAGCCAUGCCGCGGGUAUGAAGAAGGCCUUCGGGUUGUAAAGUACUGUCAGCGAGGAGGCGUUACUCGCAGAAGAAGCACCGGCUAACUCCGUGCCAGCAGCCGCGGUAAUAC
rnacentral:rRNA from 1 species